rnacentral:rRNA from 1 species
AAGUCGUAACAAGGUUUCCGUAGGUGAACCUGCGGAAGGAUCAUUACUGAGUCUGGGAUUCCCCUUCACCGGGGGCCCGACCUCAAAACCCAGUGUCUAAACUACACCUUGAAUGUUGCUUCGGUGGGACGGUCGCUAACCCGACCGCCGGGGGUAUUGGUCUUUCGGGACCGGUCCUCUCGGAGAGUUUGCCCGCCGAUGGCCUCAACCAAAAAAACUCUUGAACAAAACCAUGUCGUCUAAAACGUAUACCCAUGAAUUAAUGGAUAAACAAAACUUUCAACAACGGAUCUCUUGGUUCUGGCAUCGAUGAAGAACGCAGCGAAAUGCGAUAAGUAAUGCGAAUUGCAGAAUUUCCGUGAGUCAUCGAAUCUUUGAACGCACAUUGCGCCCUUUGGUAUUCCGAAGGGCAUACCUGUUCGAGCGUCAUUAUCCUUCUCUCACACCCCCCUUUUGUUAGGGACCCGGGUGUGGCGUUGGAACACAGUCGGUGGACAACCAACUGGUUCUCAAAAGUAAUGACGGCGUCCGUGGGACCCUCGAUACAACGAGUUCUUUCGGGAGCACGUAUCGAGUUGCAAGGACCUUCCGGGCCGGUCAAACCCCCCAUUUUUCUCAGGUUGACCUCGGAUCAGGUAGGAAUACCCGCUGAACUUAA